AAGUGUGGAAUAAUCUUAUAACAAGAUUAAUAGCACUAUUAUGGUGAUUUUCUUUCAGAAUUCUCUCCAGACUUGAUCUCUUGGGAGACUAAGAUCACCACCUCUGAUGCAUUCUUCAAUAAGAGAAAAGAAAUAUGGCAAGGAGGGAGCCUCUGAAAUUGCUGAGAAUAGAUUCUUCCUAACUAGAGAAACCAUGAAAUCAGCUCCAUCUUUGGAUUCCUGGUAUUUUCCUGUGGAAUUUAAUACCUGGCAUUGUGAACUAUGGUGGGCCUGCUGUUGACGCCCAGAGGAAUCAGGGAGCCUAACUAUGGUAGGCAUUAAAAAAAUUGCAGAGAUUUCAAAGAAAACAGUUUGAUAAAUCCCUUUGAAAACCUCUGCAGCAUUUCUUCCUAAAUUGUUUAUUCCAGACAAUGGGUGACACUGGGGGCCUCCAGGCAGUUUGACUUUCCAUUUUAUGGGUCCUUGUCUUUUUUCUGUGAAGAUGAGAUAAGAUCUGUCCUGUGUGCUUUGAAGUCAUUUCUGUCAUUUAACAAAUUCUCUUGGAAAGAAGCAAUGGGUGCAUCCCCAGCUAUGGAAAGGAUGCCCUUCAUUGAACUGCCCUCAUCAAGAGGCACACGAGAUAAUAUGAUGGAAAGAGCUUGACCUUUGAGAUCAGACACAUAACACUAUUGCACAGUAGCUUUGUGAAUUUGGAUGUGCUUUUAAUCUCGCUAAGCCUUGGUUUUCUCCUCUAUAUCAUUAUGCUGAUAAUACCCAUUGUGAUAGUUAGGGUUCUUUGGUUAUUAGCAACAGACAGUGAUUAGUAAACUUAACAGAGAUGAAAUUUAUUGGAAGGAUGUUGCAGAAGUCUCAGAAUAUAUGGGAAGACUGUAAAACUAGGUUGUGUGUGUGCAUGCAGCAGUGCUGCCAUGGAGGGAUUAAAUAUGCUAUACCCUCCUCAGACACCACCGCUGUAAUGAAUAAUCCCCACUGCUUUUCUCUCCACCCUUGAAUUACUCUGAUCCAGUUUCAAGGUUCCUGGAGAGUCCAGUUGGCCUAGCAUGAUGGUUUGACUAGGAGAGCCCAAGGCACUUUCAUUUACAGACUUAGAAAGUUCAUACACAAUAGAUGAGAGGUAAUUCCCCAAAGGAUGUUUCCCACAAGAAGGGGAAAUAAGUGCCAAUGACUCAAUAAAUGAAUAAAAGGUAAAACCUCUCCGCUACA
rnacentral:lncRNA from 1 species